rnacentral:rRNA from 1 species
CCUACGGGUGGCAGCAGUGAGGAAUAUUGGUCAAUGGGCGCGAGCCUGAACCAGCCAAGUAGCGUGAAGGAUGACUGCCCUACGGGUUGUAAACUUCUUUUAUCAAGGAAUAAAGUGAGGCACGUGUGCCUUUUUGUAUGUACUUUAUGAAUAAGGAUCGGCUAACUCCGUGCCAGCAGCCGCGGUAAUACGGAGGAUCCGAGCGUUAUCCGGAUUUAUUGGGUUUAAAGGGAGCGUAGAUGGGUUGUUAAGUCAGUUGUGAAAGUUUGCGGCUCAACCGUAAGAGUGCAAUUGAGACUGGCAGCCUUGAGUACGGUUGAGGUAGGCGGAAUUCGGGGUGUAGCGGUGAAAUGCUUAGAUAGCACGAAGAACUCCGAUGGCGAAGGCAGCCUACUAGACUGACACUGACAUGGAGGCGCGAAAGUGUGGGUAUCAAACAGGAUUAGAUACCCGAGUAGUC